rfam:Endocarpon pusillum Z07020 unplaced genomic scaffold scaffold344, whole genome shotgun sequence.
GCAAUCGACCACAGGACAUGGAGAACAGGGCUUCCCGUUCGCUCAGCCGUACUCAAGCCAUGUGCCGGCCGGUUCGGAGUUGGGUGGGUGACCACCAGCGAAUACCGGCUGUUGAUUGUU